AGACUCAAAAUAUCCACAGGAAAAUACACAACGCCGGCAUACUACUAAGUGAUAGAAAUUUCAACAUCAGUACCGCCACUCUAAAAAGUUGUGUUAACAGUACUUUCCUGUGGAUAUUUUGACCAUCUGAAGGAUCAACACCACGGACCACCAGUAGAGUAAGUUUCAAUGUCAUUUUAUUUAACAUUCUGGCUUGUAAAGAGAACUGAAAUGAUUUUGCAAUCAUUAGCUUCAGUCUGUAUACCAGAAGGUGGUAAGUGCCUUCCCGAAAGCAUUCACACCCCUUGACCUAUUUCACUUUUUUAUUUGUGACCGCCUGAAUUCAAAACGGAUGAAAUAAAAAUUCUAACCCGUCUACACAAAAUACCCCAUAAUGACAGUGGAAAUAUUUGCGUGAUUAUUGAAAAUGAAAUGCAAAAAUAUAUGUCAACUAUUCGCAUCCCAGAGUCAAUUCUUUGUAGAAGCACCUUAGGCAGUGAUUACAGCUGUGAGUCUCUCUGGGUUAUUGUUCUGCUGAAAGGUGAAUUAUUUUCCCAGUGUCUGGUGGAAAGCAGAAGAUACCAGGAUUUCCUCUAGGAUCUUGCUUGUGUUUAGCUCAUUCUGUCUUUUUUCGUUUUUAUCCUGAAACUACCCCAGUCUGCAAUGAUAAGCAUACCCAUAACAUGAUGCAACCACCACUGCUUGACAAUAUGAAGAGGUGUGAAAUACCCAGCAACGUUGCAAUUCUUGACACACUCAAACUGGUGAGCCUGGCACCUACCAUACCCUGUUCAAAGGUACUUCAAUAUUUUGUCCUGCCCAUUCACCCUCUGAAUGACAUAUAUACAUGAUCCAUGUCGCAAGGCUUAACAAUCCUCCUUUAACCGGUCUCUUCAUAUACACUGAUUGAACAGGUGACCUCUGUAAGGAUCAUAGCAUUCACCUGGUCAGUCUGUCAUGGAAAGUACACUGUGUAUAUCUUUCUACAUACUUAGUGUGGUUUUAGUCAUUUAAGUUUACU